rnacentral:rRNA from 1 species
ACGGAAGGCAGCAGUGGGGAAUAUUGCACAAUGGGCGAAAGCCUGAUGCAGCAACGCCGCGUGAGGGAAGACGGUUUUCGGAUUGUAAACCUCUGUCUUUGGUGAAGAAUAAUGACAUUAGCCGAGGAGGAAGCCACGGCUAACUACGUGCCAGCAGCCGCGGUAAUACGUAGGUGGCAAGCGUUAUCCGGAAUUACUGGGUGUAAGGGAGCGCAGGCGGGAAAGCAAGUCAGCGGUGAAAUGUAUGGGCUCAACCCAUGAACUGCCGUUGAAACUGUUUUUCUUGAGUGGAGUAGAGGCAAGCGGAAUUCCGAGUGUAGCGGCGAAAUGCGUAGAUAUUCGGAGGAACACCAGUGGCGAAGGCGGCUUGCUGGGCUCUAACUGACGCUGAGGCUCGAAAGUGUGGGGAGCAAACAGGAUUAGAUACCCUGGUA